rnacentral:misc_RNA from 1 species
GAUGAAGAACGCAGCGAAAUGCGAUAAGUAAUGUGAAUUGCAGAAUUCAGUGAAUCAUCGAAUCUUUGAACGCACAUUGCGCCCGCCAGUAUUCUGGCGGGCAUGCCUGUCUGAGCGUCAUUUCAACCCUCAUGCCCCUAGGGCGUGGUGUUGGGGAUCGGCCAAAGCCCGCGAGGGACGGCCGGCCCCUAAAUCUAGUGGCGGACCCGUCGUGGCCUCCUCUGCGAAGUAGUGAUAUUCCGCAUCGGAGAGCGACGAGCCCCUGCCGUUAAACCCCCAACUUUCCAAGGUUGACCUCAGAUCAGGUAGGAAUACCCGCUGAACUUAAGCAUUCAAUAAGCGGAGGA